CAGUGAAAUGAUGCUUGACCAUCUUUCGGGACUGAUCUUUUCCGUGACGAAGAUUUAUCCCAAACUGAUCACUA
ensembl:snoRNA